GCGGGCGUCCGUAGUUAUUUAUUUAUUUAGCGGCUGCAGAAAAGCUCUGCGGCGCUCGCGAAACCCGAAGACUUGCAGGGUAAGAACUGAAGCCACCAAAAGGCUUACUAUACCACACAACACCCAAGCCUUCCUUUGGGGCAUGGGGACAGUGGAUCUAUGGCUCCUCAGGGUGCCAACCAAUUGAAGAAGGAAGCCAGCUCCACUCAACAGCUUCUACAAAGGAAGGGCCACAGGAGAGGGGCUUCAGUGGUUCCAGGCAGCUGCUUCAUUCACAACAGAAUGGCCAUUUUCUCCAGCAUGGCCAACUAUCCCUAGUCUUUUUGUCAUGACAGCCUAGAAGGCAGAAGCUAGGGCCAAGGCGGCUGCUAAGGAAUUCCUACUCCUACUGGGGCCUAAUGUCAGGCUUUCCUUAUAUUGUGGAGUGGGCCCUGGAAGAUAGUUAGAGACCCUUCCUGCUGGGCACCCUGAAGAGGAGCAAGAGGAUCUGGUGAGCAAAAUGAAGCAAAAGUGCAGUGCUGGAGCUGACAGCCCUGUUCCCUACUGCACGCAGUUGGCUCAGGGCUGUCCCCCACUUUGGAGCUUCUUGCCACUCACGGGCUACCCUGCACACACUACUUACUGCCCAGGCCUGUCUGCCACCACAGUACCCUGUGCCUGAGACCUUUCCUGGCCUCUGCUGGAUCCCAGGCCUAGUAUCAUUCCUAGGGACUCCAGAGGCAAGUCCAGGCUAAUAUGCUCUGGGAAAACAAUGUACAAUGUACAUGUUUGCCUUUUGACGUAGAUAAAUGAUACCUGGAUCCCAGGUCUGGCUCUGGGGCAGGGGAGCUUCAGGCCUGGCUAUGGCAGAACACUGAAGGAGGUACUUUGGGUUUUCACAACCUCUUAAAUCAUCUCAGAGAGAGAGUGAACAACUUACUUUCACAUGCACAAGCUGCCGCUGGCUCUGUCACAAGAAGAUGGACUACAAGUAAUAAAAUCAAGAUGAAGUUCUGUGUACAUCUUUCCAGCUUACAAGAAUUGUAGAAAGUUGAAGAUGAAAGGGAUAUUAAAGAGCAUCUCAUUCUACCUCCUCAUUUUGCAGCUGUAAGAACCGAGGCCCAGGGAGGGGGACUGGGGAAGCCACCAUCACACAGCUGCUCCGUGGCAGGAGUUGUGCUAACUUUCUGUGGCUGUUGCCAUUACACCCAGCAUCUUUUGACUUUUGAAAACAGCGAAGGAGAAAUCAGUCCUCCCAGCAUCUUCACCUCCCACGACGUUUAUUGUUUCCAGCUGUUAAAAAUUGGCCCUUUAAAAAUGGGUCGUCUUGCCAGUCAUUGAGGGUCACCGCGGUGGGGAGUGCUGAUUUAGAGGGCGGCAGAACAGGGAGGUGAUUGGAGGCAUAAUUGCCAGUCUCCUCCUUGGCACCUGGGGAUUUCUGUCAUUCAAGUCUCAGGGUGUGUGCCCUCAGCAAAUACUAACCCACAGAGUCAAUUGCUAACUGCAGUCAUCUGUGCAUUUGCCCUCUGGGGAUGGAAAGCCAUAAGAAAUGCCAUUUCCUAAUCUAGUUGGCCUUGGAUGAGAAGAUGUUUUUGCCUAAUGGAAGCCUUUGGAGAGUGAAUAAUGUGAAUAAUGUGUAUUUAGGACCUACAGUGCUCCCCAGGAUGCUGUAAGGGACCUGGUUAUAAAGAAAAAAACCUCACUGAUGGUCUUGGCUUUGUCCUUGUCUGAGUUAAGUCCUUUUGGUUGGAAGUAAUCAACUUGAGCUGACGUAAGCAUUAAGGGACAUAGAAGAGUAUAGCAGUAUCUCAUGAAGUCCAAGGGCAGAUGGCCUCAAGGUAGCCCGAGAAGCUGCUAGGAACCUAGACAGUCCACCUUCUCCAGCUUUCUUCUCUGCUUCGUGUCUCCCUCUGCAAUCCACUUUCUUCUCUGUGAGUAGCUGGGCAGAGGAUAAUCCCUCAACAACUAUCACAUCUACAUCUUCUCUCCUAAAGAGAUUAGCCAAAGGAGUGUACAGUGGAGUUUUCCAGAAGGCAUAUGCCAUGUGCAUCACCACAGCUUAAAUGCAGAAACAGACAUGAGGAUCUAGCUGUGUCCUACUAAGCCAGACAUUCAGGACAUCUAAAAGUGUAAAACAAUGCCACUCUUCUCACUAACUUUUUUGUUUUGGAAAAUAUAUCUUUCAUAAAAUAUUGAUUAUGUUGAUAUAUUACGGGUUUGUUGUUAUUAUUUUAAAUGAAUUAAUAAAUAAUUUUCUGAUUUAAUUUCUAUUACUGUAAAUAUUGAUGGAUAUAUCCUGUAUAAGCAAAAACUCUCUGGGGUUCUCAACUAUUUUUAAGAGUGUAAAGGGGUCAUUAGAGAACUGCUCAAGAAUGUUAGUAUUAUUUAAAGAGCUUCUGCACAGAAAAACUAUCAACAGAGUAAACAAACAAACUACAGAAUGGGAGAAAAUCUUCACAAGCUGUGCAUCUGACAGGGGCUAACAUCCAGACUCUAUAGGGAACUUAAACAUUUCAAUGAGUAAACAAUAAUUAACCCCAUUAAAAAGUGGGCAAAGGACAUGAACAGACACUUCUCAAAAGAAGACAUACAAGCAGCCAACAGACAUGAAAAAAUGUUCCACAUCACUACUCAGAGAAAUGCAAAUUUAAACCACAGGGAGAUACCAUCUCACUCUAGUCAGAAUGGCUAUUAUUAAAAAGUCAAAAAAAUAAUAACAGAUGCUGUUGAGGCUGUAGAGAAAAUGUAAUGCUUAUACAUUGUUGAUGGGAACAUAAAUUAGUCCAGCCACUGUGGAAAGCAGUUUGGAGAUGCCUCAGAGAACUUAGAACUACCAUUUGACCCAGCAGUCCCAUUACUUGGUACAUACCCAAAAGAAAACAAAUGUUUCCACCAAAAAGACGCGUGUGCUCAUAUGUUCACUGCAGCACUAUUCACAAUAGCAAAGACAUGGAAUCAAUCUAGGGGUCCAUCAGUGGUGGGUUAGAUAAAGACCAUGUGGUACACAUACACCAUGAAAUACUGCCCAGCCAUAAAAAAGAACGAAAUCAUGUCCUUUGCAGCAACAUGGAUGCAGCUGGAAGCUGUUAGCCCAAGUGAAUUAAUGCAGGAACAGAAAACCAAAUCCUGCAUUUUCUCACUUAUAAGUGUGAGCUAAACAUUGAGUACACGUGGACGUAAAGAUGGAAACAGCAGACACUGGAGACUACCAGAGGA
rnacentral:lncRNA from 1 species